rnacentral:lncRNA from 10 species
CUUCAAUGUAGGCCAUUCUGGGUCCCAGACCCACAGCUUUGGACAUUAUGGGAAUCAGAAUUCUUAGAUGGCUUCACAAUCUCUGUCCCUGGGUGUGUUACUCCCUUGAUGAUAUUAUAUUAUAUGGCAGAAGGGAUCUGCAGUGUAAUUAACAUUACCAAUCAGUUGAUCUCCAAGUAGGUCAGUUAUCUGAGUGGGCUGGAUCUAAUCCCACGAGCUUAUUAAAAGCAGAGAGUUUCUCCAAUAGCAGAAGGGAAGUCAGAGAGAUUCUAAGCACAAGAAGAAUGGGAUGCACGUUCACUGGCUUUAAAGAUGCAGGAAGCAUUACAUGGAAAGGACUUGUGAACAGCCCCAAGGAGCUCAGAGAGACGCCCAGCCAACGGCCAGCAAGAAAACAGGAACCUCAGUCCUGCAACCACAAGGAAGUGGGUUCUGUCAACAACCUAAGUGAACCUGGAAGUCGAUUCCUCCCUAGAGCCUCUGGAUGAGAGCCCAGGCUGACCAACACCUUGAUUUUGGCUUCCUGACAUCCUAAGCAGAGAUCCAGUGAAGCCUGCCCCAGAUGGCUAACCUACAGAACCCUGGAUAUAGGUACCAACGAGACCCUGGGGAAGGGGAGAGCCCUGAGAUGGAAGGAGCCUGGGUCCCUGAAUCACCACGUGGAGGAAAGCCACUGACCAAUCAGGAACGCUCGUCUUGGUCUGUUAUGUGACUAAGAAAUAAAUUCCUAAGGUGGUGCAGCAAUAUAUUUGGAGACGCAGACUGCGAGUCAGCACAUGCUCCCGGUUCCCUUGGGACACAGUCAGGGAGCUCAUGUCUUCAGCCCCAGCUCCCCCAGCAAGAGCCUCCAGUGGUCGGAGGAGAGGAGAGAAGAGCAGUGGAGAGGGGGAGGAAAGCAGAAAGAGAGAGACUGAAGAACUGGGGGGAGGAGAGCAUCCCUAGCUACAGUUAUUGAAAACUCUGCUUGGUAAUGUGGCAUUGAGAGACUCUGAGAAGCUGGCUUCAGGAAGGUGGCCCCACACUGCCUGCCCACCACCUGGGAUGCCACCUGCCGCAACGGUGUUGGUCUCUGGUCAGGGCUGGGGUAAAGAUCAGCAGUGGCUCAUCUUCCCUCUGACACAGCAGCAUGGGACACCUGGAUGGAACUGAAAUGGGGUCCCAGAUACAGCAAACCUCUCUCCCUGUCCACUUCUGAAGUCCAGCUCGGGAUUGCCGGCCCCAGCAGAGCAGGCAGGGGAGCUUUGACUGUGGAUGGUGUUUGAGCCUAGACUAGGCCCCAGGGUCUUCAAUGAAGCUCACAGAUGGAAAAGCCCAGCAACCAGGGGUCAGAGGCCCUGGAAGUUAGAAAAUUACAAGUCCCCAUCCUUCAAGGAGCUCCAGGAUGACUCUGCCUCAGCAAUUUCCAGUGCAAAUUUACUUUUUGUUUGAGUCAGGAAAUAACAGGCUGCAGACUCCCUAGGGGCCCAGGAAUCCAGCCACCAGCUUCUCCUGGCUUCUCUCAUCCUUCCGUGAGCAAGACUCAGCCAGACGUACAGGGUGGCCCCGAGCUUAAAUUACAACCACCUGACCAGAGCUGCCCCGCAGAUGCCCAGACCCUGCUUAGAGAGGGUCCCUGUGGAGAGAGGGGCUUCCCCAGGCCUCUGGCUGGUCGCAUGCGUGGCCUGAAUUCUCCAUGCACAGGCAAGAGGCUGUCUCUACUUCCCACCCUAGGCAACUCUUAGCACUAACCCUGAAGUGACGAUGAGCCACGGAGCCAGGGUGGAAGCUACACAGUGCGUCUCACGUGACUUCCAGUGAGAGCUGUUCCCAAGUUUACCAUCCCUCGGCGGUGGCUCACCACCCUCUCUGCCCAAAGUCCUCUCAAUAGCCUAAGUCUCUUCCCUCCACUCAGCCUCAUUGCUCUCAUUUUGUCACUUAGAGCUUAGUGACAUUUUGCUUUCUUCCAAAUCCUCCUUCUUGCAGUCUAGCUGGGUCCUUUCAUGCCUAGUUUACAAAGAUGUCUGGCCUGAUCCCUAUCUGCCAGCCCCUAUCCCUCCCAGGGGGACCAGGAAGCCUGGGUUUGACAGGUGCAAUGCACAGGUGCCGGGCGCCCACUGGGAGUGCAGGAGGCCAAGGUCUUCCCAGGACUGGCAGCUCAGAUGGCCCAGGCAGAAAUAACCUGAGCCUGCUGCCCUUUCCUUCUUGGGAGUGACUCAGCGAGAAGCCGGAAGAUAGAAACACAAAUCUGGUCCUGGAUCUUGCAGAGCCAGUCACAGGCAAGGCCACAGCCUUAAGGCUGUGUACGGAGAGGACCUGGAGCCAGCCAUAGGGCUGGACGCUGAAAAGACGCUCAACCUCAUUUAGCAGGAGACAAGUGCAAAUGAAAACUAUACCCAGACCCCAUUUUCCACAGAGCAGAUUGGCAGAGAUGCAAGCUUUCAGGACACACUCACUUGGCAAGAAGGGGAGGCCAUUCUCCCGCUUUGCUAGCAGGCUGUAAAAUGAUACAAUCUCCUCGGAAGGCAAGUUGGCAAUAUCUAUCCACUAAGUGCACAAAUUCUUUGACCCAGCGAUUCUACCUGUACAAACGGAACACCUAGCUAUGCGUGCACAUUUAUGACAUGACCCAGGCAGCAUUGUUUGUAAUAAUGACAAAGGAUUGGAGGCUCCUACAUAGGUGACUGGUUCCACACUUGCGGUGUCCCCAUGCGAUGGAUCACAGUAGGCAGAACAGAUAAUUGGAACCAUUGAUGGACGAGUAUGGAACCGUGUCCUAGAUACAUUGGAAAGAGGAAAAACAAAACAAAAGAAAUUGAGGAGCAGAACGGGCUGUGGGGCUGGCUGGUUUCAAUUCUCGAUGAAUGGAUGAAAUGGCACACUCCCAUUUGGAGGCAGUCCUUUCUUUUCAGAUGAAGAAAUGGAGGCUCAGAGAGGGGAGGUGACUUUGUGGAAGUCACACAGCAAGUGGCUGAGCCAAGACUCACAACCAGGUAUUUUUGUUUUGUUUUGUUUUGUUUUGUUUUUUGAGAUGGAGUUUUGCUCCUGUUGCCCAGGCUGGAGUGCAGUGGCACGAUCUCAGCUAACUGCAACCCCCACCUCCCUGGAUUCAAGCGAUUCUCCUGCCUCAGUCUCCUGAAUAGCUAGGAUUACAGGCACCCGUCACCACAUCCAGCCUUGUUUUGUUUUGUUUAUGAGACAGGGUUUUCCUUUGUCACCCAGGCUAGAGUGCAGUGGUGCAAUCUCAGCUCACUGCAACCUCUGCCGCCAGGGUUCAAGCAAUCCUCCUGCCUCAGCCUCCCUAGUAGCUGGGACUACAGGUAUGCACCACCACACCCGGCUGAUUUUUGUAUUUUUAAUAGAGACAGGGUUUCACCAUGUUGGCCAGGCUAGUCUCGAACUCCUGACCUCAGGUGAUCCUUCAGCCUCAGCCUCCCAAAGUGCUGGAAUUAUAGGCAUGAGCCACCAGGCCCGGCUGCAUCCAGGUUUUCGGGCUCCCCAUCACAUGGUUUUUUCUACCUCACUCUAUAGCAGACAAGACCUGGGGUCUUGGGUCACUGCUAUCCCCAUUUCCACCUAGAACAUGAUCUAGACCACAGUACAUAUGGGCUCAGGAACCAGCUGUCAGAGAAUGGCGUCAGAUUCUAGCUCAGCUACAUCCUACCUGAGUGACUUUUAGGGGAGUUACUUUUUGGACUGUGCUGUGGUCUGUUUGUGCCCCACCUAAAUUCAUAUGUUGAAACUUACUCUCCAAUGUGAUGGUAUUAAGAGGUGGGGCAUUUGGGAGGUGAUUAGUGCUCUUAUAAAAGAGGCUGGAGUGCUGGGUGCGGUGGCUCAUGCCUGUAAUCCCAGCACUUUGGGAGGCUGUGACGGGUAGAUCACCUGAGAUUGGGAGUUGGAGACCAGCCUGACCAACAUGGAGAAACCCCGUCUCUACUAAAAAUACAAAAUUAGCCGGGCAUGGUGGUGCAUGCUGUAAUCCCAACUACUCAGGAGGCUGAGGCGGGAGAAUCGCUUGAACUCAGGAGGUGGAGGUUGCAGUGAGCCAAGAUCGUGCCAUUGCACUCCAGCCUGGACAACAAGAUGAAAUACUGUUUCAAAAAAAAAAAAAAAAAAAAAAAAAGAGGCUGGAGGGAGCUUGUUCACUUUUGCCCUGUGAAGACACAGCAAGAAGGUGCUAUCUUUGAAGCAGAGAGUGAGGCCAGGUGCGGUGGCUUAUAGCGGUAAUCCCAACACUGUGGGAGGCUAAGAGGAGAGGAUCACUUGAGCCCAGGAGUUUGAGACCAGCCUAGGCAACAUGACAAAACCCUGCCUCUACAAAAAAUCCCAAAAUUAGCCAGAUGUGGUGGCACAUGCCUCUAUUAGGGAGGCUAGGUUGGAGAAUUGCUUGAGCCCCAGGAGGUUGAGGCGGUAGUGAGCCGUGAUCACACCACUGCACUCCAGCCUGGGGGACAGAGCGAGACCCUGUCUCAAAAAAAAAAAAAAUUUUUUUUUCCUUUUUCUUAAUUCACCUCCCCUUCCUUAUUUCUAUUUACUUUUAAAUAUUAAUAUAUAGUAAAACUGGCCAGGCACAGUGGUUCACACCUGUAAUGCCAGCACUUUGGGAGGCCAAGGAGGGCAGAUCAUUUGAGGUCAGGAGUUCAAGACCAGCCUGGGCAACAUGGUAAAACCCUGUCUCUACUAAAAAUACAGAAAUUAGCCUAGAUGUGAUGGUGGGUGCCUGUAAUCCCAGCUACUCAGGAGGCUGAGGCAGAAGAAUCACUUGAACCUGAGAGAUGGAGGUUGCAGUGGGCCAAGAUCGCACCACUGCACUCCAGCCUGGGCCCUGGGUGGCAGACAGAGUGAGACACUGUCUCAGAAAAUAAAAAUAUAUAAAUAUAAAUAAAUAAAUAAAAUUAAUAUAUAGUAAAGUUGAUUUUUGUUGUUGUUGUUGUUUCGAUUUGCAUAAUCACCUUCACAAUCAGGAUACAGCUAGUUCCAUCGCCCCAAGAAACCUCCUCAAGAGUCCCCUUCAGGGAGCCACAUUCUUUCCCCACCCCAGCCUCUGCCUAGAAAUGGCUAACAUGUUCUCUGUAAUUUUGUCUUCUUGAGAACGUCAUAGAAAUGGACUUUUACGUGAUAUAACCUUUUGACUGGCUCUUUUCUUUAGAAUAAUGCCUUUGAGGUUCAUCGCAGGUGUUGUGUAUAUCAAUAGUUCAUUUCGUUUAAUUAUGGGGAUACCAUAGUUUGUUUAUCCAUUCAUUCAUUGAAGGACAUUUGGGUUGUUUCCAGUUUUUGGUGAUUAUGAAUAGAGCUGCUAUAGAUAUUUGUGCAGAGGUUUUUGUGUGAACAAAAGUUUUCAUUUCUCUAGGCAGUAAUUCUCAACUGGAGGCAAUUUCGCCUCCCAUGGGACAUUUGGCAAUGGCUCUGACAUUUAUGAUUGUCAAGGCGAAGUGCUGCUGGUAUCUAGUUGGCAGAGGUCACGGAUGCUGCUAAACAACCUAUAAUACAUAGGACAGUCCCUACAACAAGGAAUGAUCUGGCCCAAAAUAUCAAUAGCACUGAGGCUGAGAAACCCUGGUCUUGGGAAUACACAGAACUGAAGUUGUUGGUCAUGUGGUAUGAUAUGGUUUGGCUGUGUCUCCCCACCCAAAUCUCAUCUUGAAUUGUAGUUCCCAUAAUCCCCAUGUGUCAUGGGAGGGACCUGGUGGGAAGUAAUUGAAUCAUGGAGGCAGUUAGCCCCAUGCUGCUGUUCUCAUGAUAGUGAGCGUGUUCUUACGAGAUCUGAUUGUUUUAUAAGGGGCUUUCCCCUCCUUCGCUCUGCACUUCUCCUUGCUGCUGCCAUGUGAAGAAGGAUAUGUUUGUUUCCCCUUCCGCCAUGAUUGUAAGUUUCCUGAGGCCUCCCGAGCCAUGCAGAACUGUGAGUCAAUUAAACC